UAAGGAAUAUUGCUCAAUGGGAGAAAUCCUGAAGCAGCAACGCCGCGUGGAGGAUGAAGGGUCUAUGACUUGUAAACUCCUGUAAAGAAGGAAAAAAUUCCCAUUAGAUGGGAGAUGAUGGUACUUCUGGAGUAAGCCCCGGCUAACUACGUGCCAGCAGCCGCGGUAAUACGUAGGGGGCAAGCGUUGUCCGGAUUUACUGGGUGUAAAGGGCGCGCAGGCGGGAUAAAAAGUCAGUGGUGAAAUCCUACAGCUUAACUGUAGAACUGCCUUUGAUACUUUUAUUCUUGAGUUCGGGAGAGAGAGACGGAAUUCCAGGUGUAGUGGUGAAAUACGUAGAUAUCUGGAAGAACACCAGUUGCGAAGGCGGUCUCUUGGUCCGAUACUGACGCUGAGGCGCGAAAGCGUGGGGAGCAAACA
rnacentral:rRNA from 1 species